GGGGUUGUGGCUCCGUGGUAGAGCACUUGCCUAGCACGUAUGAGGCACUGGGUUUGAUUCUCAGCACCACA
rnacentral:tRNA from 1 species